CCUACGGGUGGCAGCAGUGGGGAAUAUUGGGCAAUGGGCGCAAGCCUGACCCAGCAACGCCGCGUGAAGGAAGAAGGCUCUCGGGUUGUAAACUUCUUUUCUCAGGGACGAAGCAAGUGACGGUACCUGAGGAAUAAGUCACGGCUAACCACGUGCCAGCAGCCGCGGUCUUACGUAGGUGGCAAGCGUUAUCCGGAUUUACUGGGGGUAAAGGGCGUGUAGGCGGGACUGCAAGUCAGAUGUGAAAACCACGGGCGCAACCUGUGGCCUGCAUUUGAAACUGUAGUUCUUGAGUACUGGAGAGGCAGGCGGAAUUCCUAGUGUAGCGGUGAAAUGCGUAGAUAUUAGGAGGAACACCAGUGGCGAAGGCGGUCUGCUGGACAGCAACUGACGCUGAGGCGCGAAAGCGUGGGGAGCAAACAGGAUUAGAUACCCUUGUAGUC
rnacentral:rRNA from 1 species